rnacentral:rRNA from 1 species
GAUGAACGCUGGCGGCGUGCCUAAUACAUGCAAGUCGAGCGAACAGAUGAGGAGCUUGCUCCUCUGACGUUAGCGGCGGACGGGUGAGUAACACGUGGAUAACCUACCUAUAAGACUGGGAUAACUUCGGGAAACCGGAGCUAAUACCGGAUAAUAUAUUGAACCGCAUGGUUCAAUAGUGAAAGACGGUUUUGCUGUCACUUAUAGAUGGAUCCGCGCCGCAUUAGCUAGUUGGUAAGGUAACGGCUUACCAAGGCGACGAUGCGUAGCCGACCUGAGAGGGUGAUCGGCCACACUGGAACUGAGACACGGUCCAGACUCCUACGGGAGGCAGCAGUAGGGAAUCUUCCGCAAUGGGCGAAAGCCUGACGGAGCAACGCCGUGUGAGUGAUGAAGGUCUUCGGAUCGUAAAACUCUGUUAUUAGGGAAGAACAAAUGUGUAAGUAACUAUGCACGUCUUGACGGUACCUAAUCAGAAAGCCACGGCUAACUACGUG